AUUGAACGCUGGCGGCAGGCUUAACACAUGCAAGUCGAACGGACCCUUCGGGGUUAGUGGCGGACGGGUGAGUAACACGUGGGAACGUGCCCUUUGGUUCGGAACAACUCAGGGAAACUUGAGCUAAUACCGAAUGUGCCCUUCGGGGAAAGAUUUAUCGCCAUUGGAGCGGCCCGCGUCUGAUUAGCUAGUUGGUGGGGUAAUGGCCUACCAAGGCGACGAUCAGUAGCUGGUCUGGGAGGAUGAUCAGCCACAUUGGGACUGAGACACGGCCCAAACUCCUACGGGAGGCAGCAGUGGGGAAUCUUGCGCAAUGGGCGAAAGCCUGACGCAGCCAUGCCGCGUGAAUGAUGAAGGUCUUAGGAUUGUAAAAUUCUUUCACCGGGGACGAUAAUGACGGUACCCGGAGAAGAAGCCCCGGCUAACUUCGUGCCAGCAGCCGCCGUAACAC
rnacentral:rRNA from 1 species